rnacentral:rRNA from 1 species
AAACCAGCACCUCAAGUGGUCAGGAUGAUUAUUGGGCCUAAAGCAUCCGUAGCCGGCUCUGUAAGUUUUCGGUUAAAUCUGUAUGCUCAACAUACAGGCUGCCGGGAAUACUGCAGAGCUAGGGAGUGGGAGAGGUAGACGGUACUCGGGAGGAAGUGGUAAAAUGCUUUGAUCUCUCGAUGACCACCUGUGGCGAAGGCGGUCUACCAGAACACGUCCGACGGUGAGGGAUGAAAGCUGGGGGAGCAAACCGGAUUAGAUACCCGUGUAGUCC